GGUUCUGAAAUUAUGAUGUACGUGACACUUUGACCCAAAUAAUCAUAGUUUAUUAUAUGUUCUGACUUUAAAAUUUUAAAUUAUUACAAUUAAGUCCACAAUCUAAUUUUAUUGACUAAAUACUCCUGUAUUAAUAAUAUAAAAGUGAUAUAGUAAUAUAGUGAUUAAUAAUACAAUAAUAAUUAAAACAUUAUAUCACUUUCACAUCAGCAAAUUAGAUUGUAAAAUUUAAUUAUAAUAAUUUAUAAAAUUCGUGUCAAAAAAAUACAACAAAUUAAAAUUUAAAAAUUAAAAUAUCACAAUACCUCAUAAUUUGAGAACCAAGUAUUUUAUAUCUAUUCUGAUUGAUAUAUAACAAGUUUUAUUGUUCUGAGAAGAUUGAAAUGAUAACUGAACACAGUACACGACCAUAUGAUGCAGAGGCAUUAUUUGUCCUACUACGUGUUCUCACUGGUUUUUAUUGUUGAAAAAAAAAAAAAAAUUGUUAGUAAAAACUUUAAGGCCGCGUUUAGUUCGAAUGUAAGUACAAAUUAAGAUAUAAAUAAAAAUUAAAUUAAUUUUAUAUUUGGAUGAAAAUUAAAUUAUUUCUGAAAAUAAGGUAAAUAGUAUUUGGAUGGUUAGAUUGAAAAAAGAGAUAUAAGAGUUAUAAUUUUAAAUUAAAAAUAUUUUCUCUAAUUAAUUAACAUCAAAAUAUUAAUUAAAAAUAAUUUAAUAAAUUAAUAAAUUUAUUAGGUAUGAAUAUUGUAUAAAACAAUAAAAAUAUAUUAAUUAAUUAAUUAAAUAUAAAGUAUAAUAUAACUUUUUAGUUAAUUACUAAAUUAUUUUAGUUAUAAAAACCUUUCUUAGUGUAGUCCAUUAGUUAGAACUUUAAGGCCUAUUUUGGCGAAAGUGGGAAAAAAAAAGUAUUAUUCUGCCGUAAACAAAUAUUUUUGGCGUUUAGGGCGUGCUUGUUUCGUCCAUUUUUCAUCUUGGAAUCGGAAUCGGAAUCGGAAUUGACAAAUCCGUUUGUCUGUAUUUGGUAUGUGGGGUUUUCAUUCCAAUUUCGAUUCUCGGAUGAAUGGGAAUUCCCCAAAUUAUCUCUUUUUCCAAUCCAGCCUCCUCCGUUUGUCCGUAUUUGGUAUGCAGGAUUUUCAUUCCGAUUUCGGUGAAUGGGAAUCCCCUUAAUUACCUCUUUUUCCAAUUCCAAUCUGGCCUAGGAGGCCGGAUUGGAAUUAAAUCCGGAUGGAAUGAAUUUGUUCGGAUUAAAUUUAAUUUUUAAACUUAUUUUUUAAUUAAAAUAUAAGUUUAAGUUUAAAAAUUAUAUUUAUAAAUUUUAAUUUUAAUUUGAAUUUAAAUUAAAAAUUAAAAUUCAAUCCAACAUUUCAAAUGUAAUUUAUAAAUUUGAAUUUUAAUUUAAUUUUAAUUUUAAUUUAAAAUCGAAAGUUUUAUUCAAAUUUUAUUUAAAAUUUAAAUUUAAUUUAUGGAUUCAAAUUAAAAUUAAAAUUAUAAUUUUAAGUUUGAAUUUGAAUAAAUCAAAAUUUAGUUAUAUAUUUUGAAUUAUCCAUUAUAUAUUUAAAAUUUUGUCGUCGUUUUAAAAUGUUGUCGUAAAUUGUUAAUAUUUAAUUAUAAAGAUAAAAGUGGCAUAUUAAAUUAAUUAUAUUUCUAAUAUAUAUCUGAACCAAAUACCGACAAUAAGAAUGACUUAUUUCGAUUUCGAUUCAGGUGGCGAACCAAAUAGAAUGAGAUUUUCCAACUUAUUUUCAUUCCGAUUUCGAUACCAAUUCCGAUUUCGAACCAAACACACUCUUAGUUUGAAAAUUGAGUUUUUCAAAAUAUCUUAAUUUGUCUUCGUUUUAUAAAGAGGGAUGAAGUCAACUACAAAAAGGGAAAUGUGAGAAAAAAAUAAAUAAAAUAUAAGAGAAUUUUUUUUAUUUAUUACAAUAUAAUUUAUUAUUUAUAUAAUUAUAUUAUUUUUAUUAUAUUAUAAUUUAUUGUAUUCUAACUUAUUAUUUAUGAAGUUAUAUAAGAGACUAAAAUUAUUUUACGUCAUUUAUUUUUUACUAAACAAAUAGCAGAAUUAAAAUAACAUCAUUUCUACAUACAUAAAAACAAACAACGAAAGAAAAGUUAUUUUUAUACAUACUUUAAUUUAAUUCAAAAUUCAAUUUCGGCGAAACAAGCAUGCCCUUAUAGUCAUGCGUUUCAAAUU
rnacentral:lncRNA from 1 species